UGCAGUAUGGGGAUAAGCAAAUUUGACAUUUUUCUAUAAAUGGGAUAUACACAGUGAAAACAUGUUAUCAUAUUGCUGCUUCUCUUUUCCGACUAAUUCUCAUGCUUUAUUUAUAGGUGAUUGGCGCAAAUUCUGGAGUGUAAAGGUGGCACAAAGUUUAGUAACUUUGUUUGGCGAGCUGUAACUAACAUAUUGCGACAAAGGUUCAAAUUCUUCAUAAAGGGGUCCAAGUGGAGUCGAAAUGUCCAUACUGUGACGAGGAGGAUACUCUACAUGCAUUGCUGUUGUGUCCUAAAGGCUCAAGUGUGCUGGCAGUUUUUAUCUCAUAACCUUAAUCGGUUUUUCCUGAAUCAUCCGGUCAGGUCGAAACUUGCUGUUAUUUUAGCAAAAGAGAUUUGGUCCUUCACAAAUAAUUGGUUACGCCUUGCAUGGUUUGAACGAAUGGUUGGAGGCUUAGGAAUCGAUUCUGGCGUCAGGGAAGCAGGCGGGACAAGGUGACAGAGCCAACUUGUGGACUAAACCAGCUACUGGAAUGUUAAAGUGUGAUGUUGAUGCUUAGAGGUUCCUGGAAUUCCGGUGAAUGGGGUAUGGAGCUGUCCUUCGCAGGCUUGUCUGGUUUAUUUCAAGGUCACGUAACCCAGCUAUGGCGGAUGCUAUGGCCAUUAGAGAGACUCUCUCUUGGCUUCGCAGGGAAGGUUAUAGCAAUGUUGAAGUGGAGACAGACUUAUAGUUAAGUUGGCAACGGUUUCGAUCCUCACGAAGGAUUUUCUGAGUUUCAAUUAGUUAUUAAGGAUUGCAGGACAUUACUCUUACGUGGUAAUGGGUUUAAGAUAUCUUGGGUGAGAUGCCGCGCUAAUAUGGUUGCUCGUUUGCCCGAGGAAGCUAUUACAAUGGCUGGUAGUACGAUUUGAAGGUUACCUCCAGAUUUUUUAUGGAAAAAUAAUUAUUUGGCCUCUGAGAAUUUUAUAAAAUUAAUUAAUUUA